rnacentral:lncRNA from 1 species
AACUAAGCAUGGACCCUUUCAAGAAAGAGGACCUCUGCUCCUUUAAGACAUUUAAGCUCCUGUGGUCUUAAAGAAAUAACAUUCUGUUUCUAAAACUGCCACCAUUGCACAUGGACCACAACUUCGGUCAUAAGCUGAAUAGUUUCUGUGAGAAGUUCGCUGGAGAGAAAACAACUUUUUACUUGUCAGGAAUAAGUCAAAAUGCCGACCGCUUAACUUCUAAGAUCCAGAAAAUGCUGACAUCUUAAAUAAUUUUCCUCAAAUGUUCCUAAAUUAUCUAAAUAUGAAAAGGAACAAACACUCAAAAGGGAUCCAAUGAAAAUAUGCCUCUUGUUGCAAAAUAAUAAUACUGUUUUAGUAGCAUAGUACUAUAAAAAUUUUUAAAUUCAGACUGCAAUAUGUUUGAUAUUCAGACUGCAAAAUGAAAAAGUCAGUUACUGGAGUAAUCAAGGUCUAUUUUUAAAACAGAUUAUUUACUUUAUGCAAGAUUUUAUACCUCCAGACUGUAAUUAUACAAUGAUAGUAACUAUAAACUUUUAAAAACAAUUUGAAUAUAUUGUCAUUGAAUAUUUUACUUAAAGAUGACUAAUAAGAAAAUAAAUGCAUGAUGAUAAAAUGUCAUUUCUCCUCUGUAUAUAGUAAAAUAUUAAGUAGAAUAACACAAAUAAGUAGAUUCCUCAGGCAAAAUAAAAUGUCUGUAGAAAAAUAUAGGCACUUAAUAUUGUUAUUAUAUGUGCACGUUAUAUACACACAUUCAGAGAUAUAUGAAUGUCUUUGGUUUACCUAAUAUCAAGGUAUUCAGAAUUCUGCAGAAUCCUAAUGCACAUUCCUAUUAAACUGGCAGUAAUGUUAUCAAAUAUGAAUGUUCCUAUGGCCCAAAUGAAUAUUAUUUUUUUUCAGUGUGUUUUGCUUGCUAAAAAUAAGUGAAAAUAAAACACAACAAAUAAUUGAGCCACAGGCCCAAGUUGUUUUGGUAUGAGAAAGUUUGGAUAUAAUGUGGGAACACAUUUGGCCACUUCGGCAGUGAUUGACAGGGAACUUACAAUAGAAGGCCUGAAGGGAAUAUUGAGGCCAAAGAACUUUGUCAAGCUGAGCAAUUCUACCAAAAGUGUUAUCAUGAACCUGUUAAAUUUACAUGUGUUUUGUUUACACUGCAAAAGAGCAGUUCACCAUUGACAAAUUUGAGCGGUUGUUUCUGCGUUUAUGCAGUCGAAGAGCACUGGAAGCCUUGAAGGCAUUAUGUCAUACUACUUGCAUCACAUCGUCUAGGAGGCAACAUCUGCUGACAUGUCAGCAAGAACAUUGAAUAAUUCCAGACAAUUAAAGAGAAGUGAAAUAAAAAAGUAACUAUGUAUUAUACUAGUUAACGU